AUACGGAGGGUGCAAGCGUUAUUCGGAAUCACUGGGCGUAAAGGGUGCGUAGGCGGUUUGAUAAGUCUGAUGUGAAAUCCUAUGGCUCAACCAUAGAACUGCAUUGGAAACUGUCAGACUAGAAUACUAAAGGGGCAGAUGGAAUUAGUGGUGUAGGGGUAAAAUCCGUAGAUAUCACUAGGAAUACCGAAAGCGAAAGCGAUCUGCUGGGAAGUUAUUGACGCUGAGGCACGAAAGCGUGGGGAGCAAACGGAAUUAGAAACCCUAGUAGUCC
rnacentral:rRNA from 1 species